UUACCAUAAAGAGAAGGUUAGAGACAAGCUCGACGAUCCUUCAGCAACCUGGUCAUGACUAAGGUGCUAAAGCUUGAAUGAUGGGGCAGUGCGCAUCCAUCGUCGAUGGGUG
rnacentral:ncRNA from 2 species